AUUCCCUAUUUAUAUUAUGAUUACAAUUAGAGAACCUGUUAUAAAAUAUGCAAAUACACUUGUGUCUCUCUUUAUGGACACGCACACACACAUCCCUGCACACUUUGACACAUACAUUUAAUUGAUUGGCCUAAUCGGAUAAAUGGUCAUCGUGGUAAUGAGGCAAUCGAAAGAUAUCCCCUGUAGCAAAAAAAUUAGAAUUUAAACUCUCGUGGUAUAAUCUGUUAGCAAAUUUAGUCCAAAACUAAUUUUUCUAUUAAUUGUCCGUUAAAUGCAGGGAUCAAUGUCCUCAGGAUCCAGGUACUGGGUCCAGUUGUUUCGUCUUCUCUUUUCAAUCUUGUACGAGCAAUCAGAAAAAAUAAGAGUAUCUUGUUCUUGUCACUCUUGUUGUUGCUAUUGAUCAUGGCUUGCUGGACGAACUAGCGAGACAUGUUGGAGGACUGGACAAAGAGGCGGAGGUCUCCAACCACUGGACCUUGAGCAAACACUUGGCGGACGAACUGCUUCUGAUUGCAGACGACGCAUGUCCAUUUGUUGCUUUUGUUCCUUUGCUUCACCUGCAAAUUUAAUCAGUAUUCAUCGCCAAACAAAAUCAUCAAGUUUCAGAUUCAAGUGUUUGUACACACACACGCAUGUACAUACCUGCUUGGUGGAGUUGCCAUGUACAUACCUGCAUGGUGGAGCAUUGGCAGCACUGAACUGCGAUGAACACAGUCGGCAUUUUCUUCUCUGCUUUCGGAUUUCACAAGUCGAUGUGGGAUUUUGGUAUUACUGAAAAUUUAGGCGGCGAUUUGAUUUGGGGUUUGGGCGCCAAAUUUUGGGGAUUCAAAAUUUUGUGAUUAAAAAUCCUAAAAAGCCC
rnacentral:lncRNA from 1 species